rnacentral:lncRNA from 1 species
ACAUAAAAGAAGCGUAGAGCGUGGCAAUCAUUAAAAAGAUCCCUGGAAAUUUGUGCAGCUUCAACCAUGAAUCUCGCUUCUUCUGUACCAUUGCUUUGGAUUUUGGGUUACGCUGCAUCGACGUCUGCAUUUAAAAGAGGCGCACCUCAAAAAAUUGGCGAUGGUGUACGACUGAACGCUUACGUUCUUUACGACUCAAAGUACCGCAAUAUAGCCAAUGGAAGAACACGACGGAGAAAUAGAAGGGAGUUGCAGAGGACAACGCCUGUACUGGACUAUUUUCAUGCUUUAUUUAAAGAGGUUCAGACAUAUCUUCACAAUAAUUCCAUAAUGGUAAAUGUUACGCUACAAAACGUCACGGAGG